CAUUACCACACAAUUUGCGCUGGUGUUCAAAAGGUUCAUGCAAUCCUAUACACCCGAAAAGCCAUCAUAAUUGAUAUUGCCUAAGAAAUGUGUGAUUCAUUACCUAUUACUUAUCGUCUUGCAACAUUCAUAAUCAGUACAAUUUUGUACAGAGUGGUAAGCAUGUGUUCAACAUCGAAAAAUAUUGAAAAACGUAUGGAAAAGUAAACAGUAAACAUACCACUAGAGCUGGUCUCCUUAUCAGUAGAACAGUUUUCGUUCAACGAGAAACUACGCAAAACAAUGAAGUUAAAAACGUUGGUUAAAGCCAUUCUUCCGGCCGUUAUCGAAGCGGUGACAAAACAAUCAACAUGCCCGCCGCUAAAUAUAAAACUUACAAAGCCUUAAAAUGAAAAUUUUAAGAAUAUUUGCAUUUUUUUACCUGACGCUAACGGUAUGUGAAACUUUAGUGAACGUGGACUUACAAACAGUGACAAAAAGUGCAAUCGAAAGUGACAAUCCCUUUUUGUUAAAACUACUACAGUCCGUGGAUGAAGCUCCAAGCAAUGAGUAUUUGUUUGACGUAACAUUAAAGUUACUGAAGAGUUUAUGUAUUUGUAUGCGUGAGACUCUUAGAGAAAAACAGAAAAACCUGUUAUUUACUGGAGAAACAAAUACACUGUACUUCGAAGACAAUUCGCAUGAAGAUGACGUGAAAGUUUUAGAUCUAUACAAGACUAUUUAUAACAAAACGUGCUUUAACUUACAAAAGGACCUGAUCAAGCAUAAUGCCCCUGAACAUACCACUUGCGGAAAAGGAGAAAAUUUAUUACAAAAAAAGGGUAAUGUCGCAAAUCAUACAAACUUUCAUAAAAAUGAACUUGAUUUAAAGGCCAUAUUGUUUAAAUCUUUCAUUCUAACAAAACGAUUUCAUAAUUAUACAGUAAAGAAGCAUCAUUUAUAUAAAAAAGUUCGUGCUCCUGUGUCUAGUCGACCAAAUAAUGGAAUCAUAUUUUUAAUAACAUUUUAUCCGGAUAAUACUAAUAAUCAAAGUAUAUCAUUCAAUACAACAGAAGAUCUUGAUUACACUAUCUUUUCAAAUUCAUUAAUAGACAUAACAAUUUUGACUACGAAAUUGGGAACGGAACGCAAUAGAUAUAGAAAUGAAGUAAAUAGAAACGUAUCAGAAUGCAACUUGCAAUCACUUUAUAUGUUUUUGACUGAAAAUGAGAGUAAAAACUUAACAAGAAAAUUUCGAAUACAUAAAGGAAGAGGACCUCCAAAAAUAUAUAUAGAGACAGUGGUAAAGGAUAACAUUGAUUACCUAAAUACGUGUUGUGAUAACAGAACCAGAACUCCAGAAUGUGAUAAAAAUUCGUUAGAAGAAAGUAUAAAAACUGAUAAUAAAUCAGCUAAAACUUUGGAACAUUAUAAAGAUACGAUUUCCAAAAUUAAAAACUUAGUGAAAUUGUACAAAAAGAGAGUGGAGGGAAAAGAAAAAGUAAACAAUAAAAUGUUCGUUAUGAAUUCAAUAAUUAAGGAUCGCAAUAUUGAAAGGAAUUACUUUAAACUAGAUGCCAAAGAAAUACACAAACUAAGAAAUAACAAAUCAGAACAAAUAAAUGAAAAAAAUAUCAUUAAAACUAUGGAUGUCUUACUGCAUUCGACUACUGAAUAUCUUAAAACUAUGAAAAUAGAUAUGCUAAGAAUAAAAAAUGCUAUGAAUAAUAACAAAAAUAAUACUAAUUUUAAUACAGAUAAAGAUAUGUUUGAAAAGGAAAAUUAUUAUACAUCUAGUUUCAAGAUUAAGCCACUUAACAAUACUAGAUCUAUUGCAGAAAAAAGCACCGACAAAAAUGACGUAAGUUUUUUUGCUACAACCGACUACAAUACCGUUGUACCAACUAGAAGCAUCAUUAUUAAUAACACUAUGUCACAGACAUCCACAUCUGACCACAAAUCAGCUUUUAAAUUAAGCAUUCCAAUACCAUUUAUUACUAAUGAAAUAGGUGAAAACAGUAUCAUGUCAGAAAUUUUAAAAGACUCACAGGAGAUAAAAGCCACGAUUAACAACAUAACAUCCGCAUACACCAAAAAAAUUAAUGAGAUUGAUGAACUGUCAAAAUCAACACAAAAAGUAAAAUUUACCUCCACCACAAAUUUACCAAGCAAUAAAUCAGCAACAGAAAGUUUGAAAAAUUAUGAUGAAAAAAUUGUAACACCUGUUAAAGGUUCUGAGCAGAAACAAACUACGGAAAAUAGCAUUAUAUCUGCAAUUACCAAAAAUAAUAAAAUAGAUGAUAUUGAAGAACCAAUUAAAUCAUCACUGUCAAUAUUAAAAUUAUCCUCCACCACAACUUUACCAAGCAGUAAAUCACAAACAUUAAUUUUAAAUAAUUAUAGUGAAAAUAAUAUUUUGGAGAAUAUUGCAAUAGGUUCAAAGAAGAUGAAAACUCCGGCAAAUGACACAUUAUCUGCAAACACGAGGAGUAAUAAAUUUGAUGAUAUUGAAGAACCAUUGAAAUCAUCACAAUCGACGAAAAAGUUAAAAUUAACCUUUACCGCAACUACACCAAGUAGUAAAUUACAAACACUAAUUUUGGAUCAUCAUAGUAAAAAAAAUGUUAUGCCAAAUAUUGUAAAAGGUACAGAGAAAAUACAAGCUAAGGUUCAUUACAUAAUAUCUGCCAUAACUGAGAAUAAUAAAUUUCAUGACGUGAAAGAACCGUCACAACCAUCCCAAUCGACACAUCAAUUAAAAUUAACCUCCACCGCAAAUAUACCAAGCAGUAAAUCGCAAAAAUUACUUCUGGAGCAUUAUACUGAAAAUAAUAUUAUGUCCAAUAACGUAACAGACACAGAAAUGAUGAAAGCAGCGAUAAAUAACAUAACAUCUACAAACACGAAGAAUAAUAAAUUUAAUAGUAUUGAGGAACCGUCGAAAUCAUCACAGUCGACAAAAAAUUUAAAAUUAGCCUCAACUGCACCAAGCAGUAAAUCAAAUACAAUAGUAUUAGAUCAUUAUGGUAUGGAAAAUAAUACGAUGCCGAAUAUUUUAAAAACUACAGAGAAAACAAUAACUACGACAAACGACAUAAUAUCUGCAAACACGAAAAAUAAUAAAUUUAAUGACAUUGAUGUACCAUUGAAAUCAUUACAGUCGACACAAAAAUUACCCUCCACCACAAUUUUACCGAGCAGCAAAUCACAAACAUUAAUUUUAGAUUAUUAUAAUAAAAAUAAAAUUGUAACAGUUACUGUAAAAGAAAAAAAUGACAUAACCUCUGUAUACACCAAGAGUAAUACAUUUGACAAUAAUGAAGAAAUAUUGAACUCAGGAAAUGGCAAACAAAAAUUAAAAUCAUCCCCCACCACCACUAUACCAAGCAGUAAAUUAGAAACAAUGACUUUUGCUAAUUAUGAUAAAAAUAAUAAAAUGGCAGUUACUGUAAAACACUCACCGCAGGAAAAAGCUAGGCUAAAUGACAUAACAUCAGCAUAUACCAAGAGUAAUAUAUUUUAUAACAUUGAAGAACCAUCAACAUCAAUAAAGGCAAAGGAAAAAGUAAAAUUAACUGCCGCCACAAUUUUGUCAAGUAGUGAAUCAAACACUUUUUAUCAUUAUGGUAAAAAAGUAAAAGAUUCGCAGCAGAUAAAAACUACGGUAAAUGACAUAACAUCUCCAUAUAUCAAGAGUAUAAUAUUUAAUGACAAUGAAGAACCACUGAACUCAGUAAAUGCGAAACAAAAAUUAAAAUCAACCCCCACCACUACUUUACCAAGCAGUAAAUCGGAAACAUCGAUUUUGGGUCAAUAUGGUGAAAAUAAUAUUAUGCAAGAUAUUGUAAAAGAUUCACCACAAAUAAAACCCACGGCAAAUGACAUAAAAUCUGCAUAUAACAAAAGCAAUAUAUUUCAUAACAAUGAAGAACCAUUGACACCAUUAAAGGCAAAGCAAACAUUGAAAUUAACUGCCCACACAAAUUCACCAAGCAGUAAAUCACAAUCGUUACUUUUGGAUCAUCAUAGUGAAAACAAUAUUCUGCCAGUUACUAUGAAAGACACACCACAGAUAAAAGUUACGGUAAAUGACAUAACCUCUGCAUACACCAAGAGUAAUAAUAAAUUUUAUAACAAUGAAGAAACAUUGAACUCAGUAAAUGGGAAACAAACAUUAAAAUUAUCUUCCACCACAAUUUUCCCAAGCAGUAAAUCACAAACAUUAACUUUGGAUCAUAAUGGAGAAAAUAAUAUUUUGCCAGUUACUAUGAAAGACACACCACAGAUAAAAGCUACGGUAAAUGACAUAACCUCUGCAUACACCAAGAGUAAUAAUAAAUUUUAUAACAAUGAAGAAACAUUGAACUCAGUAAAUGGGAAACAAACAUUAAAAUUAUCUUCCACCACAAUUUUCCCAAGCAGUAAAUCACAAACAUUAACUUUGGAUCAUAAUGGAGAAAAUAAUAUUUUGCCAGUUACUAUGAAAGACACACCACAGAUAAAAGCUACAGUAAAUGACAUAACCUCUGCAUACACCAAGAGUAAUAAUAAAUUUUAUAACAAUGAAGAAACAUUGAACUCAGUAAAUGGGAAACAAACAUUAAAAUUAUCUUCCACCACAAUUUUCCCAAGUAGUAAAUCACAAACAUUAACUUUGGAUCAUAAUGGAGAAAAUAAUAUUUUUCCAGUUACUAUGAAAGACUCGCCGCAGUUAAAAGCUACUGUAAAUGACAUAACAUUCCCAUAUACCAAGAGUAAUACAUUUAAUGACAAUGAAAAAUUAUUGAAUUCAAUAAAUACGAAACAAAAAAAUAAUUUUAAUCCCUCCACCACUAUACCAAGCAGUCAAUCAGAAAUAUCCAUUUUGGGGCAAUAUGGUGAAAAUAAUAUUACGGCAGCUGUAAAAGACUCGCCGCAGAUAAAACCCACGGUAAAUGACAUAAAAUCUGAAUAUACCAAGAGCAAUACAUUUUAUAACAUAGAAGAAUCAUUGACAUCAUUAAAGGCAAAGCAAACAUUGAAAUUAACUCCCAACACAAAUUCACCAAGCAGUAAAUCGCAAUCGUUAAUUUUGGAUCAUCAUAGUGAAAACAAUAUUAUGCCAGUUACUGUAAAUAAAGACUUGUCACAUAUAAAAGCUAAAGUAAAUGACAUAGCAUCUACAUAUACCAUGAGUAACACAUUUAAUGACAAUAAAGAACAAUUAACCUCAUUAAAUGCGAAACAAACACUAGAAUUAACCCCCAUAAGCACUUUACCAAGCAGUAAAUCAGAAACAUCUAUUUUGGGCCAUUACGGUGUAAAUGAUAUUAUGCCAGUUACUGUAAAACACUUACCACAAAUAAAAGCUACGGUAAAUGACAUAACAUAUUCAUAUACAAAAAGUAAUACAGUUUAUGAUAUUAAAGAACCAUUGAAAUUAUAUAGACAAUUAUCCUCUACCACAACUUUACCAAACAGUAUAUCACAAACAUUAAUUUUGGAUCAGUAUGGUGAAAAUAAUAUAAUGCCAGUUACUGUUAAAGACUCACCACAGAUAAAAGCUACAAUAAACGACGUAACAUCUGCCUAUACCAAAAGGGAUAUAUUUUACGAUAUUAAAGAACCAUUAAAAUUAUUGAGACAAUUAUCCUCUACAACAACUUUACCAAGUAAAUCACAAACAUCAAUUUUGGAUCAGUAUGGUGAAAUGGCAGUUACUGUAAAAGACUCAUUACAGAUGAUAGCUACGAUGAAUGAUGUAACAUCAGCAAAUACCAAGAGUAAUACAUUACAUGACAAUGAAGGCCAAUUAACAUCAUCAAAUUUGAAACAAAAAUUGAAAUUAACAGCCGCCACAACUUUACCAAGCAUUAAAUCACAUACAUCAAUUACGGAUUAUGAUGGUGAUAAUAAUGUUGUGUCAAUUACUGCAAAAGAUUUACCACAGGUAAAAGAUACGAUAAAUGACAUAGUAUUUGCACAUACAAAAAGUAAUAAAUUUCAUGAUAAUAAAAAACCAUCGACAACAUCAGACGCAAAAUAUAAAUUGAAAUUAACAUCUACCACAACAUUACCAAGCAGUAAAUCACAAACAUUUAUUUUAGAUUAUAAUGACAAUACUAUUAUGCCAGUAACUGUAAAAGAUAGCCUGCCACUACAGAUAAAAGCUACGGUAAAUGACAUAACGUCUGCAUAUACCAAUAGUAUAUUUGAUGACAUAAACUUCAUCACCACUUCACCAAGCAGCAAAUCAAAAUCGUCAAUUUUGGACAAUUAUGUUGACAAUAAUAUAAUUCCAGUUACUAUAAAAGACUCACUACAGAUAAAAGCUACGGCAAAUGAUAUAACGACUGCAUAUACAAAGAGUAAUACAUUCCAUGACUUUGAAAAACCAUUGACACCACUAAAUGUGACAAAAAAAAGAAAACCAACUUCCACUACAACUUUACCAAGUAGUAAAUCACAAUCAUUAAUUUUGGAUGAUAUGCUAAAAGACUCAACGCAGAUAAAAGCUACUGCGAAUGACAUAACAUCUGCAUACACCAAGAGUAAUAAGUUUUAUGAGACUAAAAAAUCACAAUCGACACAAGAAAUCAAAUUAAUCCCCACGACCUCUUUACGAAGCAGUAAGUCCCAAACAUUAAUUAUGCCUGAUAUUGUAAAAGAAUCAAAGCAGGUAAAGGCUACGAUCAAUGACAUAACAUCUGCAUAUACUACAAGUAAAAAAAUUAAAGACAACGAAGAACCAUUGAAAUCAGAGUCGGUACAAAAAUUAAAAUUAAUUUCUACUAAUAAUUUAUCAAGCAGUAAGUCUCAAACAUUAAUUAUGGAUUCUUAUGGAGAGAAAAGUAAUACUAUAAUGACCAAGACUUUAAAAGACCCAGAGCAAAUAAAAGUUGCGAUCGAUAACACAACAUACACGAAAAGUGACAAGUAUUAUGACAUUGAAGAACCAUUGAAAUCAUCUCAGUCGAUACAAAAUUUAAAAAAAAUAACCUCCACCACUCCUUUACUAAAUAGUAAAUCACAAUCAUUAAGUUUGAAUCAUUAUGAUAAAAACAACGUAACGCCUGUUAUUGCAAACGGCCAAUCGCAGUUAAAAGAUCCGGUAAAUGAAAUAGCAUUUGCAUAUACCAAAAGCAAUAAAUUUAAUAACAUUGAAGUUCCAUCAAAAUCAUCACAAGCGACACAAAAUUUAAAAUUAUUUAAUACAACUUUACCAAGCAGUAAGUUUAUGUAUAAAAAAAUAGAAAACAAUAAUUCCGAAUCUAUUGAAAACGUGACGAAGAAAAUUAAAACUACAGAAAAAAGAGAAACGUAUAAAAGUAAAAAAAUUACAACGGAUAUUAUUGAGACAAACACGUCAUCAACGAUAAACUCGACAUCAAAAAACACAGACAGAGAAAAUGAAAUUACAACAAAUACUUUUGUUAGAAUUGUAACGCCCAAGGUAAAUCUGAGUAGAAAAGGUUUAGUUGAAAAGAUUAAACAUAAUAAUGAAGUAAAUGCCGUCCAGAAUACUUUGAAAAUUUUCAAUUCAAAUGAAAAAUAUUCAACGAUAAUUACAAUGGUUGACAAUGAAAUCAAGACUAAAACUAAUCGCGGUCAAUUGCAAAAGGAAACUAUAAGUAAGGACGAUGCUGUGACAAAACCAACAAGUAACAAUAAAAGUAAAAUUUCAACAAAAGAUAAAUCGAUGGAUAAAAAUAAAAGUGAAACUACAUUUAUUGAUAAACCUACGGAAAAGCUCGAUAUCAAUAAAGAAUUUUCAACGGUAAUUUCAAUAAAUAGUAUAAAUAAUAUGACAAAUAGUAUUGAACCCAAAACGAAGAAUAUAAAUACAAAAGUUUCAAGGUUAAAAUCUAUAGAUAACAAUGAAAGCAAUAUUAUAGAGAAAACAAAGCAAACAUUAUUGUUGAACGAUGAAAUUUCCAAAACCAAUAUUUUAAAUAAAACAGCAACAGAAGCCGGGAAUAUUAAAUCUCUGAAUAACCAUACAACUAAAAAGAAUAUCAGGCAACUAAAUACACCGAAAAUACAUGCAUCGUCAAAAAAUUUCAAUAGAAAAGUACGAAUCCGCAAACAAUACAUGAAAAACUUGAUACCAAACCAAAAAUUUGCACAAACCUGGAAAAGUAAAAUUAAUAAGAAUAAUACUAAAGCUGCAACAAAGGCUUUACAAUAUCAAGCAAAUGUAACGAAACCCGUUAUCAAUAGUAAAGAAACCUACGUUGCUAACAAAACAAUAGAAAACAAAUUGUCUACGAAUUAUGUACCAAGUAAUAAAACAAAUGUAGAUUAUAUAAUAAAUAUGUUGACAACUACAAGUACUCCAAGCAUAUCUAUAAUAGAUAUAAAGCCGAAAGAAAUAACUGAAAAGUAUAAGAAAACCGAAAAUAAUAUCAAAUAUAACAAAGGCACAUACAUGACAUUUAUGAAACUGCCAAAAUAUAAAAGUAAAAUGAUUAAUACGACAAUUAAAACGAUACCAAUUUACAUGCAAGCUAAAAAAGAAAGUAAAUCGACGAAAACCUACGAUAAUCUUAAGUUGAAAAAGAGCUUAACCAUUUCAGGUCCAACGGUACAACCACUAUUGUUCAGGUUCACAAUAAGCUCAGAUUCAUUAGUAUACGCUAAAAAUGAUAAAAACUAUGAGGCUGAGGAAAAUACUAUAUUAGAAGAUACUACAAAAGAAACGACCAAUCCAUUAAAGAUCCAUUCAAGUAAACAUGACAACAAAUUGUAUAUUAUAAAUAGUACAACAACAAAGAAUAUCUUACACACAAAAAAUAAACCAAAUUUAAACAGUUAUAAAGAAAAUACAUUUCGCAGUAUAUUCACAGACAUUACAACAGAAAUCAAUAAUUAUUCAGAGUCUACUCUAGAAACAUAUUCUGAACAAAAAAACAAGGUAAAUAUAGAAAAUGUUACACAUUAUAACUCGGUAUUAUUACAACAACCAGAAGUUACCCUAUUACAAACAACAACAUCCAACAAUCAACCUUUGUAUUAUCAACAAUCAAUAUCCAAGGAACUUUUUGAAAAUAUACCAAUAAAAAAUAUGACCCCAAAAAAUAAAAACUAUUUAAAAAAAUAUCAUGAUACGCAUGCCCUUUCAUUAUCAUCUGAAAUAAGUUCUGGGGAAAGUGAAUAUCAAGACACGAUUCCUGGAAGGACAAAAAUUAUAAAUAAUAAUUAUAUGUUUCAUAAUUUUCUCGAAAGUACAAAUAAUAUUAAAACUACGACUUCUGAAAAUAGUAAUAAAUUUCAUUAUUUUAUACCAGAAUCUUCAUCGCCUGCUUCGAACAACAAUUUCAGUUUACGUGAACAAACUGAACAAAAUCUUAAAAAUAAACAUCCAUCUAUGAACUCUUAUUCCAAUCAAAAAACUAUUACAAUUAACAACAUUACCGAACAUAAAGAAAGAAAAACGAAAAAUUUUAACGAUUUAAAAAAAACAAGCGAGAUGAUUCCUGGGAAAAAAAAUAUUUUUAAUAAUAAUUUAAAUGUGUCUAUUAUUAGUAAUGGUACUGACAAUAAACAUGACAGUACCUUAAAUAAAACAGAUGCUAUCAGUGUCACAGAUAAGCCAAACAUUAGUAAGAAUGAAAAUAAUAAUUCAAUGUUACUUGGUGUUUCUAAAAUGCUUCCUACUAGAUAUAAUAGACCUAGGUUGCGUUUAACUAAAACGAUUAUGAAACAAUUUAAUGUCAUACAUGAAAUCACCUCCUCAGUACGGCCCUCGAAUUCAUUUCAAACAACUACAAGUGAUAUAAAAAAUAAUUUAUAUUCAAUAAAUCAAACUGUAAUUGAAAGAAAACCUUUGGUGAAAAAAUUGAAAGUAACAGAUAAGAUCAAAAAGGACACGAUAAAAAAUAAUACAGAAAAGAUUAAUGAAACGACAAAAAAAUAUAGACUAUACUACAAAAAUUAUAUUCCUUUGACACCACAGAAGAUAACUAAAGAUUCCAUAUUAUCAUCAAAAGAAGACAAUAUACUUGAAGCGAUCGAAAUUAUAUCUAAUAAGAAAAACAAUUUUAACAUUGUAUCUAAGUUACCAAUUGUUUCGCAAAACUCUAGUUUAAGUAAGAAAGAGCGUGAGUGGAAAAAUACUACUGCAAAAACUUCUGAAGUACCACAAAAUGCUUACAGUGCUUCCAAGCAAUCAUUACAAGUAACUUUACCCAUUAUUUAUAACGAAAGUCCAUUUAUUACAGAUAGAACCAAAAAUAUUGACGUAGUUAAAAGUACUGAUAAACCUAAUUACAUGACUGAAAAGUUAAUAAACACAACAAAUGAUGUAGAAUAUAAAACGGAAUAUUAUGUUAUAAAAACUCAAAUAAGUACACCAGUUAUAAUUAACCCGAUAAAUACUACAGAUAAAAUGACAAAAUCAAAUUUUCAAAUAAAACAUAGAACAAAUCGAGAUCCAAAUAUUACAGAAGUAAAAAAUAUAAAUGUAGAAAGAAAUGUUUUAAAUAAAUUAGCCAUAACACCACGGAAUAUAACAAAUGAAAAAUUUGCAACCAAAUAUAAUGGGGCAAUCAAUUUUAUUAAUAACAUUAAUAUUUCUGAAAGUGUUAAACUUACUACACUGCCAUACAAAGAGUAUAAAUUACCAUUUUUAAAUAAUAAGAUUAAAAAUAAAACAUACGUUAAUAAAAUUACAACUGUUCCCAAAUUUACGUUUGGAGAUGUGGCAAUUCCAAAACCUAGCCAUAUAGAUGAAUUAGGAACUACAUAUUAUUCUCCAGUUGCUACCGAAAAUAUUUAUAAGGCAUUGCCAUCAAAUUUUCAGAAAACAUCAAAUGUAAUAGAACCUUUAACCCCAGGUAUUUUAAUAGACAAAUCUGAAAAACCCAUGAGUCGCUUUGAUUUCCCGGAUAUUUUAACACAUUACUCAAGCACAGAGGCAAUUUCUGUAACAAAAGAUAAAAAUAAACAAACAACUGUAUUCAGUGACGCAUUUGACAAAUAUGUUAAAAAGUCUAAAAAUGAAAUAAGUCAGAUAACUUUAAAACCUUUAAUUACAAACAGUACUGUUAUAUAUUGGAAUACCACACAAACGCUGAACAGAGGUUUUGCAGAUUUAUUGAAACCACUAAACGUGGCAGUAGUAGAUAGCAAAUUUAUUGAUUCUUAUAUCAAAAAUAAUAGUCAUGUAAAUAGAACGAAUUAUGAUAAUAUGUUGAUAACUACAGAUCAUAUAAUGACAGAUAAAACCAAAGAAACAAUAAAUAAAACAAGUGCAAGUAAAACAGAGUCACAAUCUCCUAUUGAUAAAACAUUUUCUCAUAUAACAAAAGUAUAUUUUACUUUAAUACAAUCAAAAGAAUUAAGUGAAUCGAGUACAAAUAAGAGUACAGCACAAAAGAGUAUUGUCGGUGCUGAUAUAACACACAAUCCGAAACAAAAUUAUGUUGUUAUUAAAAGUCAAACUAUACCUUCAAUGGAUAAACAUAUUACAAAUUCGGACGAAAAUGACAAGGAGGCGCAAAAUUUUAAAACCAAAACAGAAUUUAUUCCUGCUCUUUUGACAAAUAAAACAAAUGAAAUUAUUUCUACUUCAAGAAUAAGUAAUAUGGAGUCACAAAAUAUAUCUCCGAAUGAUAAAACAAGAACUUAUAUAACGGAAGUUCCUUUCGCGUUACAUUUAGAACAGUUUGGAAGUCAUUUGAGUACAAAUAUACCCGUACAAACCUACUCGAGUAGAACUAAUGAAAAAAAAAUUAAUAUCGUUGAUGUAUCAAUUUUGCCAAAUUUUAAGGUGACAGAAAACAACCAACAUGCUAAUUUAGAAAGCCCACCGAAGUCGUAUCAAAAUACUGUAAAUAAAUAUAAAUUAACUAAUAAAAAACAAAUUCAAAACGAAGAUUUUCAUUUUAAGUCGGAAAUUGAAAUAUUACCAAAUCGAAUAGAUAUGACUACAUCUGCUUUAAAUAAAAACGGAAAACAUUCUGAUGGUACUAAUAAUAUAGAAAUGCCAGGAAUAGAUGUAAAUUUUUCAGGGCGAUAUAAAAUUUUUAAUGAAUACCCAAAUACGUCUCCUAUUACUACAACUACUAUCCAAAAUUCAAUAAAUAGAUUUAAUGAUAUCCAGUUUGAAACCACACAACACAACGCUUUCGUUGAAAGCAUAACAAAAUCGUUAAUGCCAGCCGAACAAUUUGAUGCAUAUACAAAAGAAAUCAAAAUAAAAAGUAAUAAUUACACAGCUGCAACUGAUAAUACCGAAGAAAUAAAACUCACUCUAACCAAUAAAAUGAGUGUAAGUAAAACGGAGUCGCAAGAUUUAUCUCCGACCAACGAAAAGUUUACUUAUCCAACUGAAGUCCCCUUCCCAAUAACGCAUUUAGAAGAAUUAAGUGAUUCGAGCACAAAUAAAGAAACCUACACGAGUAAUUUCCGUCCCGAUACAUACAAACUGAAAAAGAUUUUUGUGGCUAAUAAAAGUCACAAUACGCCAUUAACUGAUUAUGAUCAGAAUUUCCAAACAAAACAAGAAUUAAUUUCUUCUGAAAUUAAAUAUAAGAUAGAAGAAAUAUAUACUACCCCUGCCAAAAAUAAGAGUAUGAAUAUUUCGGAGUACCAUCAUGUGUCUCCCACUAAUGGAACAUUAACUUAUAACAACAACUUGACACAUUCAGGAGCGUCAAGUGAAUCGAGCACAAAUAAAGAUGCAAAAAUCUACACGAAAAAAGCAACUUCAAAACCGACUAUUAUCAGUUUCGACAUUCAAACAAGACAGCAAUCUAUUCUUCCUAAAAUGGCGGAUAAAACUGAAGAAUUGAUAUAUCCCAAGACCAAUAAAAUAAGUGUAAAUAAGACGAAGUCACAAAAAUCAUUUAUGGAUACACUUGUUCAACAUUCGGAUAGAAUUGAUAAAGACACUCGAAUUUUCCAAACAAAAGAUGUUUAUAAUCUGAAAAAGAUUAGUGAAGCCGUUAAAAGUCAAAAUAUGCACUUAACAGAUAAAGAUAUUAUAAAUUCGGAUGUAACUGAUAAUGGCAAUACAAACUUUCAAACAAAACAAGUAUCGAUUUUUCCUAACUUGACGGAAAAAACAGAAGAAUUGAUACAUAUCAAAACAAAUUUUAGUAAAAGUAAGAUGAAUUCUCAAAAAAUAUCUUCAAUCGUUCCACCUAUUAGACAUUCAAAAAACAUUGAACAUGACGAUCUAAAGUUCCAAACAAAACAAGAAUAUAUUCCAGGACCUCGAGUGCCGGAUGAAACUAAUGAAAUUAUUUCAACUCAUAGAAUGAGCGCCAGUAACUCGGAGUCCCAACAUUUAACUCCGGUUGGUGAAACAUUCACUUAUUUAACUACAAUUCCGUUCACAUUAGCACAGUUGGGAGAGUUACGCGAUUUGAGCACAGAUAAAGAAUCAUAUACCUACAUGAAUAAAGGUACAAAAUCGACUAUAUAUGAUUUUGACAUAAGUAAUAUGAAAAAUAAUACUGAAACUGUUAAGAGUCAAAAUACACAUUUCAUGGAUAAAAUUGUUUCUGAUAAUGACGCAAAUUAUUUCUUAACAAAACAAAAAUCUAUUAUCCCUGAUAUUACGCACAAAACAAAAGAAAUAAUACAUACCAAUUUAAACAAAAUGAGUGGACAAGUGGACAGCAAGACAAAGUCUCGACAUUUAUAUACAACUAGUGAAAUAUUUGUUUAUCAAACAGAAGUCCCUUUUACAUUAACACAAUCGGGAGUGUUAAUUGACCCAAGAAAAAAUAAAGAAUCAUAUGCACCAAUAAUAGAUACACAUAUAAAAUAUAAGAAUUAUACUGAUCAUGACGAUCCAAAUUUUCAAACAACACAAGAAUUUAUUCGUCCUCAAAUAACAGAUAAAAAUGAUGAAACAAAACAUAUCCCAACCAAAAAAAUUAGUAUAAUAAACUCGGAGUCAGAAACUAUAUUUCCAAUUGAUAAAAGAUUUACUUAUCUAACUCAAGCUCCUGACAAAUUCACACAUUUGGGAGAAAUAACUGAUUCGACCACAAAUAAAAAAGCAAUUACUUACAUGAGUAAAGGUAAGACGAAUAUUUUCGAGUCCGAUAAUAUUUCUACCACAAGUCAAAAUAUAUCACUAAUGGAUAAAAAAAUCAGAAAUUCGAAUGUAAUUGUAAAUGACACUAUACAUUUUCAAAGAAAACAAAAAAUUAUUUCUCCUGAAAUAAAAGAUGAAACAAAAGAAAUAAUACAUGUCCCAACCAAUAAAAUUAGUGUAACUAAGAAGGAAUUGCAACAUUUGUAUCCGAUUGGUAGAACUGGGACUUCUCUAACAGAAGUCCCUUUCUCAAUAACAGAAUUGGGAGAAUUAAGCUUUAAGUUUAAUUCGAGCAAAAGUAAUGAAGAAUAUACCUACAUGAGCAAAGAUACAACAAAAUCGUCAAUUUUUGAUAUUGACACAUAUAACAUGAAAGAGAGUGAUGUAGCUUUUAAAAGUGGUAUAUUUUCAAAUAUACCAUCAAUAGAUAAUACGACUAAAAACGGCCAAAAUUUUCAUACUCAACAAGAAUUUAUUCUUCCACUAGUAACGGGUGAAAUAAUUUCAUCUCUAACUACUAAAAUGAGUGCAAAUAACUCUGAGUCACAGAACACAUCUCCGAACGAAGAAAAAUUAACUUAUUUCACAGAAAUCCCUUUUAAAUUUACAGAUUCAAGGGUCUUAGGCGAUUCGAGUAUAAAUACAGAAUCAUAUGCACCAAUUACACACAUUAGACAUUCGGAUGAAACUGACAUUGGCACUCCAAUUUUACAAACUACACAAGGAUUUAUUUUUCCUCAAGUGACGGAUAAAACAAGUGUAACAAAAAAUACUCCAACCAAUAAAAUGAUUUUAAUCAAUUUGGACGUACACCAUUCAUCUCCAAUUGAUGAAACACUUACAUAUCCAACAGAAGUCCCAUUCACAUUACCACAUUCGAGAGAGUUAAGCGGUGCAAGCACGAUAAAACAGGAUACCGACAAGAGCAAAAGUAGUAAAAAUUUUUUACCUAUUGUGGGUAUAUCAAAAUUACCAAAUUUAAAGGUAACGCACAAUGAGCAACAUGCUGGCACUUCAAUUUUACAAAAGUCUGUAAAUACUAAAUAUAAAUCAAAUAAUAAAAUUAAAAGUAACAUUGAUUAUUUAGAAGUUAUAUCAAUAACUGAGCCAUCGAUGUUAUCAAACCAAAUAGGAAUGACAACAUCUAAGUUAAAUAACAUAAUUUUGGAUACUACAAAAAGUAUAGAAAAACCCGGAGUACAUGAGAGUAUUACAGAACGACAUCAUACAUUUUUAAUUACCUCUCCCAUGACCAAGACUACUUUACAAAAUUCUGAAAAUACUUUUAAUUACAAACAGACAACAACACAAUACACUGAUUUCAUUGAAAACUUAACAAAUUCGUUUAUGACAGAUGGACAAUUUGACCAACACACGAAAGAAAUUAAAACAAAAAGCAAUUUUAAUAAAGUUUCUAAAGAAAACAAUUUUUUGGGUAAAACAUCUAACAAAAUUGGACACAAAAAUAAGUUAUUAAACCAAGAAUAUUCAACUAUCUCUACAAGCACAGUAAUAAAUGAACAAGCCUUGGAGUAUACAACAAAUUAUAUUCAAAAUCCAAAACAGAAAAAUAUAACUGCAACGAAUGGCCAUAUACUCAACAUAAAAGAAGACGAUAAAAUAAAAAUAACUAAAGACAUACAGAAAAAUUUUAGUUUUCAACAAAAUCCACUGUUAAAUACACAUUUUACUAUGAGUCAUGGCAAAAACCAUAAUUUGUUAACUUCUCAAGCAGAUUGGAAGGAUCAAAUAGAAGUACUAAAAUAUACAAAUAAAUUCGAGCCAGCACAUUAUAAAACUAAAAUUAAUAAUUCAAAUAAAUAUUACAUUCCAAAUAUCAAAAAAUUGAAAAUUAAUAUAACUCACGACAAAAUUUAUACAAAUAUGAUAAAGACUCCAAUAUCUGUAUCUAGGAUAACGAUAGAUGAAGACUUGCAAAAACUUUCAAAUGUAACAGAUAUAAGAGAUUCAAAUCUGUACAAACUGUCUACAUCUGAAAAACAAUAUCAACAGGUACAACGAACUUUCAAGCAUAAAUCUACUAGCAAUUUGCGGAAAACCACGCUUCCUCAUUCUCAAAGCAAUUCAAAAAAACAAAUUUCUAUAGUUAAGAAAUCUGAGGGAAGACUUUUCAAACCAACUUCUGUAAAAGUAUUUUCAAAUAACUUUAUAAAAACUCAUAAAAUAACAGAUACUCCCGAAAUAUUACAUCCAGAAAUCCAUCCAUUUAUAACAGAUCAAACACCACAAAACGUUGAAAUACCACUAAACCCAAAAAAGGUGAAAAAAUUAGUUUCUGGAAUUCCAGUAACUAAUGAAUAUAAGUACUUUAAGGAAACUACUCAAAGAGAUUUAAGUAUAGAGGGAACGUCAACAAUUCCACCUGCAAUUGAACAAGUGUCAGGACAAAUAAUAUCAUCUCAUCACAUCUUAAAUCCGGCCAGUGAACACUAUAUCAAUAAAGUUAUAGAUAGUACUAAUAUAAAAAUAUCAACUAUUCCAAAAUCCAAUAUAAUCCAAGAAAAAAAAUAUUCAAAUUCACAUAACACUGAUCCAUUUAUAUUGCCUACUGAAAUAUUUCCAAAUGACAAAAGACCAGUACAUUUUAUUACUAAAAUAUUCAGAACAGGAAAAAUAAAUAAAAACCCCUCAAUUGAGGUCGAUAAAGUGACAAAUACUCCUCUUAUAUCAAAUAAUAUACAAAACAUGGUAGAUACGACCCGAUUUAACGAAAUCAAUACAGAAAGAGUACAAUAUGUAGCUAAUAUGCCUAUAAAAGUAAUCACAGAAUUACCAGAUGGUAGCAUUUUAAAUUCAAGUUUAAACUAUAAAGUGUCUUCCUUUCCUUUACGAUCUCAAUAUCAGCAAUCACAGACAACUACAUCAUCUAAUGAUAUAACAUACAACAUUCCACCGGUAUCAAAAAAAUAUAUAGAAUCUAUAGAAAUCACAAAGAAAGAUAAAAUUACUGGGUCAUCUAGUCCGAUAACUUUAUUUGCAAAAGAGUACAUGAAAGGAAAAUCCCCUGAUACACAUUCAACAUCAAGAUAUUUUGAAUUGCCGAUGAAAGACUCUAUUCCAAUCCAAUCAGAUCAUAAUCAAAGACCUUCUUUUAUAGUAGAUUUAGACCUUUCACCAAAAUUGGAAGAAAUGUUUGGUAUUGAUGACUCAGAAAAUUUAGGCCGACCAGACAAAGAUAAAGCGGUAUUACGAGCUUCGAAAACUGGACAAUCAUCUGUUCCUUUUAAACCAAUAAAAUCACCUGAUUUAAAAGUUCCAUACAAAGCAACAAAAGUUUCAACCAUAAUUUUACCAUCAUAUUCUAAGAACACAUUUUUAAAGUAUACUUCAAAAGAACGUUAUGUGAAUGAUGCAUCAACAAAAUCUUCGGUAGAUAUUAAUUAUGACUUUACCACAAAACCAUCUUUCUACCCUAGCUUUAUAUUAAGACAAAAAUCUUAUUACAUAAAUGAUAAAAAUAUAAUGACAUCAAACGAAUCAAAUAUCGAAAUAAAUACUAACACUAAAGUAAUUACGAAUUCAAAAUCAAAUAAAUCUACAAAUGAAGACACAACGAAUGAAGACUCAAAUAAUAAUUAUAUUACGCCCAUAAAACCGAAAAAUAAAUUACUUUUUAACAAUUCAUAUAUUAAUUUUAAUGAAAAUUCCACCAAACCUCCAAACACAUCUGAAAUAAAUACUCCAACUCAAAUUUAUGGACAUAAUAUUGAUAUAAGAAACCAAACAGAAAAUAAUGCAAAUGUUGAAAGGGUAGACCAUCUUAUUGAUAGUACUGUAAAAUAUAGAAUAAAUAAUUACAUUAAUAAAAAUUCAGUUAGACAUUCAACGGAAACAUCAACUACUGUUGAAAGUGGAGGCAUGAAGACUAUAAAAUACAAUACAUUUAAUCCAAUUUCUGAUGAAGAAGUUUCUUUAGAAAAUCACCGAAAAACUGAAAAAGAAUGGAUAUUUAAUCAAAUUAAUAGCUGGAGUCAUAUGCCUAAUAUUAAAAAUACAACAACUUGUGAAUUAAUAUACAAACUUAGUAACCAAAUAGCUAAAACUGUACCUGUAUUAAUACAACUGCUUAAAGCAUCUAAUUGUACACUAGUUGAAGAAUUGCGACGUUUAAAUAUAACGGAGUCACAAAUAAUGAAACCUAAAGUAACUAUUGCACCAUCGAGCACACCCAAACUUACUUCUUCCAUAAUUACUUCUACUACUAUACCUACUUUAAGAACAACAGAAAUGCUGAAGAAACCGCUCAAACAUUUGGCUAAAACAAAAUUAUUUCCGGUUAAAAUUCAACAAAACUUGCGGAGAUUUAAUUUUAUCAAUAAAAAUAUUAUAGAAUCCACACCACGAAUAACAACAGCCGCUCAAACAUAUUUAACCGAAAAAAAACACGAAUUCUCUAGACACCCAAUAACUGUCAACCCUCACACAUUUCGUCCACAUCGGAAACCAUUGAAAAUACAUAGAAAAUUAAUACCUGCAAAACCUCUGUUAUCGCAGCCUUAUGUACCGAGACUAUCUCCCAAACAAGUCACACCACGUCAGAGAAAUAUACUAUUAAGACCAAAAUUUCAAGGCACUGAUCCAAAAGAUUUUAAAGUUAAGCGUUACAGUCCAAAGCCUCUUAUAAGGGAUGUGGGAUUUUUUAGAGAAGACUUUCAACAUCACAAACCAAGUCUCUCAUGGCGAGACAGAAUGAAGUUUUUACAAGGGAUAUUGCACAAGAAAAUUCCUAGAACAAGUACAGAAGAUACUGAAUCGGUGUUAGACGUGCCUCAUGUACAACUUGCAGGAGGGAUCAAGUCGAAAUUUCUGAGAGAUAGGAUAAAUUCUAUAAGGAGUUACGUUUACAGCGCAGACUUCAGUAAAACAACGGCUCGAACCUUAUCAAAGACCUAUUUCUUUAGUCCAGAAUUUUCAGAUUUGUCAAAAGAGGAACAGAUCAUAGGUCCAUUGGAAGCAGUGUACCUAAGAAGGAACAACCAGGAUAAACGAGAUACUCCGAUGACAGCAGUUCCUACAACCACCAAUAAUCCUGGCAAAUCGCGCAGAACACCAAGAACCAUAUUCUUCUUAAGCCCGACGGUCCCAUAUAACCGAUAUUUUUAAGUAUAAUUUUUUAAUAUUACGAUUAAAAAGUAUGAAAAUA